UACGAGGGGGGCAAGCGUUGUUCGGAAUUAUUGGGCGUAAAGGGUGCGUAGGCGGGUCUUUAAGUCAGGGGGGAAAUCCUGGAGCUCAACUCCAGAACUGCCUUUGAUACUGAGGAUCUUGAGUUCGGGAGAGGUGAGUGGAACUGCGAGUGUAGAGGUGAAAUUCGUAGAUAUUCGCAAGAACACCAGUGGCGAAGGCGGCUCACUGGCCCGAUACUGACGCUGAGGCACGAAAGCGUGGGGAGCAAACAGG
rnacentral:rRNA from 1 species